AUGAUUGACACACUUUGUCCCAUCAUGAGCUGGAACAUCCAAGGUUUAAACACGCCGGCGCAUCGUGCUGUAGUUUGCGAGACAGCAGAAGCACAUAGGUUAGCCGUCCUCUGCCUCCAGGAGACUAAAAUCAAAGCCUGGAAUUGCCCUCUGGUCAAGGAGGUCGGCGGAGCACGACUAGCUGACUAUGUAGUGCUUCCCACCUCCGGCACCAGGGGCGGCGCUGCAAUAUUCUGGCAUAGUAGUGUAGUAGAUGUGCAAUCGCUUGCUGUCGGCCAGUUCUCCAUCACCACACAUGUUACCUUACGGGCUAGUUCAACACAAUUCUGGUUGACCAUGGUGUACAGCCCCAUCGAUGACAGCAGAAAGGAGGAGUUCUUAUCGGAGAUAGCUAGGACGGCGCCGCCACAAAAUGAUCCCUGGCUCAUAAACGACGAUUUCAACCUCAUAUAUAAAGCUAGUGACAAGAACAAUAUCAACAUCAACUGUAGAAUGAUGGGUAGAUUUCGUGCGGUGAUCGACGCUGCAGGACUAUGGGAGAUUAGAUGCAAAAACCGUUGUUACACAUGGAGCAACGAGCGUGUAGUUCUAACACUAGUCAGCAUCGACAAGUUUUUCUGCAGCAAUGCUUGGGACAACCUUUUCCCAACCUUCCUCCUCCACGCCACUGUUGGAAAUAUGCCCUAG
rnacentral:rRNA from 1 species